UACGUAGGGGGCUAGCGUUGUCCGGAAUCAUUGGGCGUAAAGCGCGCGUAGGUGGCUCUAUAAGUCCGUUGUGAAAGUCAAGGGCUCAACCCUUGAAUGCCGGUUGAUACUGUCGGGCUAGAGUCCGGAAGAGGCGAGUGGAAUUCCCGGUGUAGCGGUGAAAUGCGCAGAUAUCAGGAGGAACACCGGUGGCGAAGGCGGCUUUCUGGACAGAAACUGACGCUGGAGGCGCGAAAGCUAGGGGAGCAAACAGG
rnacentral:rRNA from 1 species